rnacentral:rRNA from 1 species
GAUGAACGCUGGCGGCGUGCCUAAUACAUGCAAGUCGAGCGAACUGAUUAGAAGCUUGCUUCUAUGACGUUAGCGGCGGACGGGUGAGUAACACGUGGGCAACCUGCCUGUAAGACUGGGAUAACUUCGGGAAACCGAAGCUAAUACCGGAUAGGAUCUUCUCCUUCAUGGGAGAUGAUUGAAAGAUGGUUUCGGCUAUCACUUACAGAUGGGCCCGCGUGGCAUUAGCUAGUUGGUGAGGUAACGGCUCACCAAGGCAACGAUGCAUAGCCGACCUGGGAGGGUGAUCGGCCACACUGGGACUGAGACGCGGCCCAGACUCCUACGGGAGGCAGCAGUAGGGAAGCUUCCGCAAUGGACGAAAGUCUGACGGGGCAACGCCGCGUGAGUGAUGAAGGCUUUCGGGUCGUAAAACUCUGUUGUUAGGGAAGAACAAGUACAAGAGUAACUGCUUGUACCUUGACGGUACCUAACCAGAAAGCCACGGCUAACUACGUGCCAGCCGCCGCCGUAAGAC